AUAACCUCCUUAGCUUCUCUGGAGAACUUUCAAAGUUGCUGCUGCUGCUGCUGCUGCCACCACCACUACUGCCACCACUGCCACCACAGCCAUCAUUGUGGCUAUCUUCAAAGUCCUCUGUUGGUGCUUCUGCUACUUGUUCUCAAGACUGCCCUAACUUCAGUGUCAGAGACCACACCUGAUGUCUGUGUGCCCUCUACCCCAGGAAAAGAGAGGAACUUCAAUAGAUGGAGAAAGUAAUGGAGGAAAAAUAGUCUUCAGAGAACUACAACUGCUUGAACAGAAGUGGACUGCAGUAAGACUGAAGGAUAUUUUGUAUUUUCCUUUGUUGCAUGGAUUGCCAUGAUCAAAGGGUUUAUCAGUGAGUGACUAGCUGCUGUUAAUAAGUCUCAUCAUACAUACACUGGUUCUCAAAGAGCAGCCACCAUCUGUUACCAGAAUCUAUCUGAAGCCUUUCCACUUUGUAAAACCUUCCAUAAGAUGACACAUCCAUUGAGAAGUCAGGGGUCACCUCUACAUCAAGAUGAAAUAAGUAUAGGAGCAGAAUUCUAAAUGGUUCUAAAAAUAGACAGAAUGUGACCCUCCCUUGUAGUGUCUGUCUCCUAUUAUAAGAACUUGAAUUUAAAAACGAAUUGAAUUUCAAAUAACCUUGGUCAAGGUGACAACAGUUAGAGUUCACAUGACACAUUUCAUACCAGUUUUAAAUAAGUCAUUCAGCAUUAGACCUAGAAGGCAUCUAAUCCCAAAGAUCAUCGAAUCUACCUUCUUAUUAUAUAUUUUCUCUAUAUGCAAUGGAGGCAAACUGCUAAGCUCUAGUCAAGCCUAACCCAUGAAACAACAGGGAAACUGGUAACAUGGAAUGCUAAAUACAGCAAGACAUAACAGCUCUAUGUCUCCCCAGAGUAAGAAGGCAGAGCCAUCCAGUUAAUAGACACACUGUGAGAAACAAUAGCAGCCAGGCUUACCCAAAGUACCAGAGAAGAGUAAUCCACAAUCUUGGAACAGAGUUCCCUCCUCUCCAAGAUCAGAAAAGAACCUCAACAUAGCUAAGGAAAUAGGAAAUAAAAUAACUAGGAAAAUGAACA
rnacentral:lncRNA from 1 species